rnacentral:rRNA from 1 species
GCUCAGAACGAACGUUGGCGGUGUGCGUAAUACAUGCAAGUCGCGCGAGAAAGCCGGGGCAACUCGGCGAGUACAGCGGCGGAAGGGUGCGUAAUACAUGGAUAACGUACCCUCUAGUGGGGGAUAACCCACCGAAAGGUGGGCUAAUACCGCAUAAUGGCGCGAGGUGGCAUCAUCUUGCGCUUAACGCAGCAAUGCGCUAGAGGAGCGGUCCAUGGCCUAUCAGCUAGUUGGCGGGGUAACGGCCCACCAAGGCGAUGACGGGUAGCCGGACUGAGAGGUUGAACGGCCACACUGGGACUGAGACACGGCCCAGACAUCUACGGAUGGCAGCAGUAGGGAAUCUUGCGCAAUGGGCGAAAGCCUGACGCAGCGACACCGCGUGGGGGAUGAAGGGCUUCGGCUUGUAAACCCCUUUCAUGAGGGAAGAACACUGACCUAACCUCAGGAAGAAGCACCGGCUAACUCCGUGCCAGCAGCUGCGGUAAUACGGAGAGUGCGAACGUUGUUCGGAUUCACUGGGCGUAAAGGGCACGUAGGCGGCUCAGCAAAUCAGUCGUGGAAUCCCGACGCUUACCGUCGGAACGGCGGCUGAAAAUACUGGGCUUGAGGGCGUGAGGGGUCACUGGAACUCCCGGUGAAGCGGUGAAAUGCGUAGAUAUCGGGAGGAACGCCGGAGGCGAAAGCGAGUGACCGGCGCGUUCCUGACGCUGAGGUGCGAAAGCUAGGGGAGCAAACAGGAUUAGAUACCCUGGUAGUCCUAGCCGUAAACGAUGGACACUGAGUGAAGGGGGGCUUGCCCCUCUUUGCUGCAGCUAACGCGUUAAGUGUCCCGCCUGGGGAGUACGGCCGCAAGGUUAAAACUCAAAGGAAUUGACGG